GAACACCAAUAGCAGCGUUGGAGCCUCUGGGCCGGAGGAACUGGGGCCUCCACCGACACCUUGAUAGAGAAGGGACAGGGAACAGAACCUUCGCCCCCCGCCUGAGCAGCUGGUAGACUAGAUAUCUUCCAAACAUUAUCUCAUUUACUUCCCUGGAGUUACAAAUAGGUAGAUUUCAUGUCCGUUGAGGGGUGAGAAAGCUGAAACUUUGAGACUUAAGAAUCCUGGCCGAGGUCAGCCUCCUCCGAAGCUUCAUCUCUUGCCACCACUUUCUGGUGCACACCUAGGACAGAUUUCAAUCCCUGAGAUCCCAGGAUGAAACCUAUGUUUGCCAAAUACCAGCUACUGUGCCAGAAGAGAUCAUGGAACCAGGUGUGGAAAGCUGCUUGAGAAGAGGAGCCAAAACAUCAUAGUUGAACCGUCCUGGAAUAGAAGCUCGCCCUGAAUUCUUUCUUGUGUGAAAUCCAAGAGCCCUCUCUUGGGGUUGGAUCGGGACCCUGUUCCUGUAACAAGUCCACAAUGCCAGAGAAUUAAAGAGAACCACAAAGGAAGACCAACUCCCCUUCUUCCACCUUCCCAACCUACUCAAUGUGAAGAUGAUGAAGAUGAAGACCUUUGUCAUGAUCCACAUCCACUUAAUAAAUGGUGAACCUCAAAAAGUUAGCCUGGCGAGGGGAGGAUGAUGAGAUUUCCCCUGUUGUCACAUAAACAAGGAAGUAAAGGGGGCCCCUUGUGCUCUCAGAACUCCAAGCAUGAAACGAUGGCAAAGGGAAAAACAGCUAAGUGUUUCCUGGCUGAAUUUUAUUUUGCUUUCAGUUUCUGCCAUUUCAGUUCCUGUUAUCGUGCUUUGAGGUGCACUGAACUGCAGCAAACCCAGGGGAUCCAAGGCUACGUUGAAAAGCCUUUGACCACAGUGCAGGGAGCAGAAGACAUUAAUGACGUGAUGUCGACACAGCCCGCACUCAGGAUCCUCCAGGAAAAGAACACAGAGAUAACCCCGGAUCGAUGGUACUUUUUGAAAAUGCUUUAUUGCAAAAGAGUGGCUAGGGUUUUACAAGGGCUAUGAAGAAACAUAUUAAGGUUAAUAAAGCUUUUUAUUGAGUGUUUACUUUGGUUAAACAAAUCUGGGUUUGAGACCACUGUGCCGCUCUCCAGAACAGUAGCAGAAAAAUGUAAGGAAAUCCUUCCAUUGUUACUGACUCGUUUCCUUUUCAGAACUGGAAUAUACCUUUUAACAUGCAUUGCCUUAUACUUAAAUCUAUACAUUCAGCAUUCUUAUAUAAGUCACGACUCUUUCUUUCUUUCUUUGUUUGCAAUAGAAAAGUCCCUAAGA
rnacentral:lncRNA from 1 species